AUUGAACGCUGGCGGCAGGCCUAACACAUGCAAGUCGAGCGGAUGAAGGGAGCUUGCUCCUGGAUUCAGCGGCGGACGGGUGAGUAAUGCCUAGGAAUCUGCCUGGUAGUGGGGGAUAACGUCCGGAAACGGGCGCUAAUACCGCAUACGUCCUGAGGGAGAAAGUGGGGGAUCUUCGGACCUCACGCUCUCAGAUGAGCCUAGGUCGGAUUAGCUAGUUGGUGGGGUAAAGGCCUACCAAGGCGACGAUCCGUAACUGGUCUGAGAGGAUGAUCAGUCACACUGGAACUGAGACACGGUCCAGACUCCUACGGGAGGCAGCAGUGGGGAAUAUUGGACAAUGGGCGAAAGCCUGAUCCAGCCAUGCCGCGUGUGUGAAGAAGGUCUUCGGAGUGUAAAGCACUUUAAGUUGGGAGGAAGGGCAGUAAGUUAAUACCUUGCUGUUUUGACGGUACCAACAGAAUAAGCACCGGCUAACUUCGUG
rnacentral:rRNA from 1 species